AACGCAUAUUGCACUCUCUGGUAUUCCGGAGAGUACGCCUGUUUCAAUAUCAAAAAUGUCAUCCAAAGUUUUGAUUUGUUUGUUUAUCAGACAAGCCAAAAUCUUAUGAUUUGGGUUUUGCGGAAAUAUUUCUGCUGGCCUUAAAUAAUUUAGCCACAAAAAAAAUCCAGCGUAAUAGUUGGUACUUUUGGUUACAUCCUUUCGCUGAAGCCUAUCUUUUUUUUUAAUCACUGGCUCAAUAAUAUGGAGAAACGAAAUAUAUAUGUUUCACCAUUGUUUAGAUCUGAAAUCAGGUGGGACUACCCGCUGAACUUAA
rnacentral:misc_RNA from 1 species